rnacentral:rRNA from 1 species
GCCUACGCCAUACCACCCUGAAAGCGUCUGAUCUCGGAAGCUAAGCAGGGACGGGCUUGGUUAGUACCUGGAUGGGAGACCGCCUGGGAAUACCAGGUGUUGUAGGCU